GACAGGGGGGGCAAGCGUUGCUCGGAAUCACUGGGCGUAAAGGGCGCGUAGGCGGCCUUCUAAGUCGAACGUGAAAUCCCCGGGCUCAACCCGGGAACUGCGUCCGAUACUGGAAGGCUUGAAUCCGGAAGAGGGAUGCGGAAUUCCAGGUGUAGCGGUGAAAUGCGUAGAUAUCUGGAGGAACACCGGUGGCGAAGGCGGCAUCCUGGACCGGUAUUGACGCUGAGGCGCGAAAGCCAGGGGAGCAAACGGG
rnacentral:rRNA from 1 species